UACGUAGGUGGCAAGCGUUGUCCGGAUUUACUGGGCGUAAAGAGCGUGUAGGCGGCCAGGUAGGUCAGCUGUGAAAACUCGAGGCUCAACCUCGAGCUGUCGGCUGAAACCAUCUGGCUAGAGUCCGGAAGAGGAGAAUGGAAUUCCCGGUGUAGCGGUGAAAUGCGCAGAUAUCGGGAAGAACACCCGUGGCGAAGGCGGUUCUCUGGGACGGUACUGACGCUGAGACGCGAAAGCGUGGGGAGCGAACAGG
rnacentral:rRNA from 1 species